UGGGGAAUCUUCCGCAAUGGACGAAAGUCUGACGGAGCAACGCCGCGUGAGUGAUGACGGCCUUCGGGUUUUAAAGCCCUGUUAAUCGGGACGAAUGGUUCUUGUGCGAAUAGUGCGAGGAUUCGACGGUACCGGAAUAGAAAGCCACGGCUAACUACGUGCCAGCAGCCGCGGUAAUACGUAGGUGGCAAGCGUUGUCCGGAAUUAUUGGGCGUAAAGAGCGCGCAGGCGGAUUGGUCAGUCUGUCUUAAAAGUUCGGGGCUUAACCCCGUGAUGGGAUGGAAACUGCCAAUCUAGAGUAUCGGAGAGGAAAGUGGAAUUCCUAGUGUGGCGGUGAAAUGCGUAAAUAUUAGGAAGAACACCAGUGGCGAAGGCGACUUUCUGGACGAAAACUGACGCUGAGGCGCGAAAGCCAGGGGAGCGAACGGG
rnacentral:rRNA from 1 species